AGCAGCCGCGGUAAUUCCAGCUCCAAUAGCGUAUAUUAAAGUUGCUGCAGUUAAAAGCUCGUAGUUGAAUUUCGGGAUCAAUACGUCGGUCGUGCUUCGGUACGUACUGGCGUAAUUGAUUUCUCCCUUCUGACGAACCAUGAUGUCAUUAACUUGGUGUCAUGGGAAAUCAGGACUGUUACUUUGAAAAAUUGAGUGUUUAAAGCAGGCUCACGCUUGAAUACAUUAGCAUGGAAUAAUGAAAUAGGACGUUCGAUCCUAUUUGUUGGUUUU
rnacentral:misc_RNA from 1 species